UACGGAGGGUGCAAGCGUUAUCCGGAUUCACUGGGUUUAAAGGGUGCGUAGGCGGACAGGUAAGUCAGUGGUGAAAUCUUCGAGCUUAACUCGGAAACUGCCGUUGAUACUAUCUGUCUUGAAUAUUGUGGAGGUGAGCGGAAUAUGUCAUGUAGCGGUGAAAUGCUUAGAUAUGACAUAGAACACCAAUUGCGAAGGCAGCUCGCUACACAUAUAUUGACGCUGAGGCACGAAAGCGUGGGGAGCAAACAGG
rnacentral:rRNA from 1 species